GAACUCGGAUGAAAACUCUUAUUCAUUGUCCUCUGAAUCAAAUUCUGAAGGUCAUGAAUCUCCUGGGGAUUUCUAAAUGUAGAAGGCCUCUCUUCUCAAACUCGUUGACUAGAGGUUCUAACACGCGCGAUAUGCUCCUUAGCAG